UGCAUCUGUAGUACUCUUUCUUUUUCGGCAUGAAACCAUACUGCUGCUCACAAAUGCUCACUUCUGCCCUUAGUCUAGCUUCAACUACUCUUUCCCAUAACUUCAUGGUAUGGCUCAUCAGCUUUAUUCCUCUGUAGCUGCCACAACUCUGCACAGCUCCCUUGUUCUCAAAAAUGGGCACCAUCACACUUAUCCUCCAUUCCUCUAGCAUCUUCUCACUAUCUAAGAUCCUGUUGAACAACCCAGUCAAAAAAUGUACUGCCAUCUCUCCUAGACACUUCCAUAACUCCACAGGUAUAUCAUCAGGGCUGAGUGCCUUUCCGCUCUUCAUCCUCUUCAAUGCCCUCCUCACUUUAUCCUCACUAAUCUUUGCUACUUCCUGGUCCACAACAGUCACCUCUUCUGCUCUUCAUUCUCUCUCAUUUUCCUCAUUCAUCAACUCUUCAAAGUACUCUUUCCAUCUUCCCAUAACACUACUGGCACCUGUCAGUACACUUCCAUCCCUAUCCUUAAUCAUCCUAGAGUGCUGCAUGUCCUUCCCAUCUCUAUCUCUCUGCCUUGCCAACCUGUAUAGAUCAGUCUCGCCCUCCUUACUGUCCAACCUAGCAUACAAGUCAUCGUAAGCUCCUUGUUUGGCCUUUGCCACCUCAACUUUCACCUUAUGCUGCAUCUCCCUGUACUCCUGUCUAACUCUUUCUCCGUACACACUCCUUCACCUCCUCA